rnacentral:lncRNA from 1 species
AUGGCUGUGCUACUGUUGUCAAUUUGCUGGAGGAACAAGACGAGCUGCCUCGGCAAGCGUCCGAGACAGAGCCCGAGGAGGAGGCUCCCCGGCGCGUUUGCGGGUUCGGCGGCGACGAUGACGGCGAAGGAUGGCUUGUCGUUGGCCAAGCGGCUACGUUGGUGGUGGUGGCCGGAUGCUAGCCUGCCCGAACAUCGCCUGAAGGGCUCCCUCUUCUGCCAUGUUGCGGCCACUGCGGACCUACUAGCCCCCGUCCUGGAGCAGUGCUCAGAUCUCCGCGCGGUGCUCCCCGACCUCUGCCACAACCUCCCUCAACACGCCUCUACUCGGCUUCCGCGAUGCGGCGAUGGGGGCAUCGGUGGUGUGGGGGCAAAGGGGCGUCCCAACAUUGGUGGCAUGUGGCCGCCGUGGUGUAGGAGAGGUGGGGGUCAGGUUAGGGGGCGCUGUGCCUAACUAGUAGGAG